rnacentral:rRNA from 1 species
CAAUAGCGUAUAUUAAAGUUGUUGCGGUUAAAAAGCUCGUAGUUGGAUUUCUGCUGAGAACGACCGGUCCGCCCUUUGGGUGUGUAUCUGGCUCUUUCUUGGCAUCUUCUUGGUGAACGUUGCUGCACUUGACUGUGUGGAGCGCUACCCAGGACUUUUACUUUGAGGAAAUUAGAGUGUUUCAAGCAGGCAUACGCCUUGAAUACAUUAGCAUGGAAUAAUAAGAUAGGACCUCGGUUCUAUUUUGUUGGUUUCUAGAGCUGAGGUAAUGAUUAAUAGGGAUAGUUGGGGGCAUUCGUAUUUAACCGUCAGAGGUGAAAUUCUUGGAUUUGUUAAAGACGGACUACUGCGAAAGCAUUUGCCAAGGAUGUUUUCAUUG